rnacentral:sRNA from 1 species
GCGGCGGCGGCGGCAGCGGCGGCCAAGCGGCCAGGUCGGCGGCCGGGACUCCGGGCCGCGCGAGGCCACGGCCACGCCGCGCCGCUGCGCACAACCAACGAGGCAGAGCGCCGCCCGGCGCGGGACUGCGGCCGGAGCCUGGGGCGCGCGUGCGGAGGAUCAGGCGCGGCGCGGCUGCGGCUGAGAGUGGAGCCUUUCAAGCUGUCAUGGAGAGCUUAAGGGGCGACUGAAGGAGACACGCUGGCCAAGCGCGGAAUUCUGGUUACUUCAGUCCUGCUGAGAUAUUCUCUCAGUCCGCUCACACUGAAGGAAGCUGCCUUGGGAUCAGAGCAGACAUAAAGCUAGACAGAUUUCGAGAUGAAAUUGAAAUGGCCAAUGAGCACACGCUCAUUCAUCCAACGAGCAUUGAGGACCCCCUAGAGGCCAGGCCCAUGAGUGAUGAAGAUCCCGAGGAUGAAGACGCCUUGCCAGCCAGACAGAAACAGUCUCCGCCAGUCAAGAAACCCUCAAAAGUAUUUUGCCAUGGAUAUAGAAGAUGAAGAAAACAUGAGUUCCAGCAGCACUGAUGUGAAGGAAAACCGCAAUCUGGACAACGUGUCCCCCAAGGAUGGCAGCACACCUGGGCCUGGCGAGGGCUCUCAGCUCUCCAAUGGGGGUGGUGGUGGCCCCGGCAGAAAGCGGCCCCUGGAGGAGGGCAGCAAUGGCCACUCCAAGUACCGCCUGAAGAAAAGGAGGAAAACACCAGGGCCCGUCCUACCCAAGAACGCCUUGAUGCAGCUGAAUGAGAUCAAGCCUGGUUUGCAGUACACGCUCCUGUCCCAGACUGGGCCCGUGCAUGCACCUUUGUUUGUCAUGUCUGUGGAGGUGAAUGGCCAGGUUUUUGAGGGCUCUGGUCCCACAAAGAAAAAAGCAAAACUCCAUGCUGCUGAGAAGGCCUUGAGGUCUUUCGUUCAGUUUCCUAAUGCCUCUGAGGCCCACCUGGCCAUGGGGAGGACCCUGUCUGUCAACACGGACUUCACAUCUGACCAGGCCGACUUCCCUGACACGCUCUUCAAUGGUUUUGAAACUCCUGACAAGGCGGAGCCUCCCUUUUACGUGGGCUCCAACGGGGAUGACUCCUUCAGUUCCAGCGGGGACCUCAGCUUGACUGCUUCCCCGGUGCCUGCCAGCCUAGCCCAGCCUCCUCUCCCUGUCUUACCACCAUUCCCACCCCCAAGUGGGAAGAAUCCCGUGAUGAUCUUGAACGAACUGCGCCCAGGACUCAAGUAUGACUUCCUCUCCGAGAGCGGGGAGAGCCAUGCCAAGAGCUUCGUCAUGUCUGUGGUCGUGGAUGGUCAGUUCUUUGAAGGCUCGGGGAGAAACAAGAAGCUUGCCAAGGCCCGGGCUGCCCAGUCUGCCCUGGCCACCAUUUUUAACUUGCACUUGGAUCAGACGCCAUCUCGCCAGCCUAUUCCCAGUGAGGGUCUUCAGCUGCAUUUACCGCAGGUUUUAGCUGACGCUGUCUCACGCCUGGUCCUGGGUAAGUUCGGCGACCUCACCGACAACUUCUCCUCCCCUCACGCUCGCAGAAAAGUGCUGGCUGGAGUCGUCAUGACAACAGGCACAGAUGUUAAAGAUGCCAAGGUGAUAAGUGUUUCUACAGGAACAAAAUGUAUUAAUGGUGAAUACAUGAGUGAUCGUGGCCUUGCAUUAAAUGACUGCCAUGCAGAAAUAAUAUCUCGGAGAUCCUUGCUCAGAUUUCUUUAUACACAACUUGAGCUUUACUUAAAUAACAAAGAUGAUCAAAAAAGAUCCAUCUUUCAGAAAUCAGAGCGAGGGGGGUUUAGGCUGAAGGAGAAUGUCCAGUUUCAUCUGUACAUCAGUACCUCUCCCUGUGGAGAUGCCAGAAUCUUCUCACCACAUGAGCCAAUCCUGGAAGAACCAGCAGAUAGACACCCAAAUCGUAAAGCAAGAGGACAGCUACGGACCAAAAUAGAGUCUGGUGAGGGGACGAUUCCAGUGCGCUCCAAUGCGAGCAUCCAAACGUGGGACGGGGUGCUGCAAGGGGAGCGGCUGCUCACCAUGUCCUGCAGUGACAAGAUUGCACGCUGGAACGUGGUGGGCAUCCAGGGAUCCCUGCUUAGCAUUUUCGUGGAGCCCAUUUACUUCUCGAGCAUCAUCCUGGGCAGCCUCUACCACGGGGACCACCUUUCCAGGGCCAUGUACCAGCGGAUCUCCAACAUAGAGGACCUGCCACCUCUCUACACCCUCAACAAGCCUUUGCUCAGUGGCAUCAGCAAUGCAGAAGCACGGCAGCCAGGGAAAGCCCCCAACUUCAGUGUCAACUGGACGGUAGGCGACUCGGCUAUUGAGGUCAUCAACGCCACGACUGGGAAGGAUGAGCUGGGCCGCGCGUCCCGCCUGUGUAAGCACGCGUUGUACUGUCGCUGGAUGCGUGUGCACGGCAAGGUUCCCUCCCACUUACUACGCUCCAAGAUUACCAAGCCCAACAUGUACCAUGAGUCCAAGCUGGCGGCAAAGGAGUACCAGGCCGCCAAGGCGCGUCUGUUCACAGCCUUCAUCAAGGCGGGGCUGGGGGCCUGGGUGGAGAAGCCCACCGAGCAGGACCAGUUCUCACUCACGCCCUGACCCGGGCAGACAUGAUGGGGGGUGCAGGGGGCUGUGGGCAUCCAGCGUCGUCCUCCAGAACCUCACAUCUGAACUGGGGGCAGGUGCAUACCUUGGGAGGGAGUAGGGGGACACAGGGGACCACCAGGUGUCCACGGUUGUCCCCAGCAUCUCACAUCAGACCUGGGGCAGGUGCGCAGUGUGGGGAGGGGAUGGGGUGCGUCAGGGCCCAGCAUCGCCGCCUGGCAUCUCUCUGCCACAGCAUUUCCCCUUCUGAACCGUCCAGUGACUGCUUUCAAUCUCGGUUUACGUUUAGAAAUUGAGUUCUACUGAGUAGGGCUUCCUUAAGUUUAGGAAAAUAGAAAUUACUUUGUGUGAAAUUCUUGAAUAAAUAAUUUAUUCAGAGCUAGGAAUGUGGUUUAUAAAAUAAGAAGUAAUUAUGUCAGGUCACUUUUAUGCCACAUUAUUUUAAUUGCAAAAAAGCAUCUAUAUAUGGAGGAGGGUGGGAAAAUAGAGGUAGGAAAUAGUAGCCUAAAGGAAAUCGCCACACGUCUGUCUAAACUUAGGUCUCUUUUCUCCGUAGGUACCUCCCUGGGUAGUUCCACACACUAGGUUGUAACAGUCUCUCCCUGAGGAGCAGACUCCCAGCAUGAUGUAGCGUGGCCUUGUCACGCACAUGGGGUCCCGCAGCGGUGACUGUGUGUCCUGCAGAGGCGUGACCCAGGCCCCUGUAGCCCUCAGCCUCCUCUAGAAGCUUCUGUACUCCUUGUAGGAUCAGAUCAUGGAAAACUUUUCUCAGUUUACUUCUAAGUAAUCACAGAUAAAACAUGGCCAGUAACCCCGGGCUGGCCAUUCAUUCAGGUUUUUUAAAGGAUAUUUAACUUUUAUGGACUAGAAGGAAUCAGGAGGGCUGCUGCACAGUACAUGGCCUAAGUUCCCUCUGUUCCUUCCUCUGAAUCGAGUGGAUGUGGGUGACUGCCCGAAGGCCUUCACAGGAUGGAAGUGGCAUGAUUUCAGUAGAUACUCAUUCUUGGAAAAUGCCGUAGUUUUAAAUUACUGUUUCCAGCUUUAUCAAAGACAUGUUUGAAAAAUAAAAAGCAUCCAAGUGAGAGCUGGUGAGACCACGUGCUGCUGGCGUAGUGUAGACCAGACGUUGACAGUCCUGACAGGGGAGCUCAGGGCUGCCCUGCACCCAGAGUGCAAGGGACGGCCCCACGACAGAGGGAGCCAGCCCAGGAGGUCAGGAGCGCGGUGGGCGAGGGCCCUGUGUGGACCACCUCCACCAAGCUCAGAGAUUUGCACCAGGUGCCUUGUUGCCUCCGCUCAGGAUGAAAGAGGAGCUGAGAGAAGUGCUCAGCCUGCCAGUGCAGUGCCCAGCUCCAAGGCUCUGAGGGUGCUCAGGUACACUGAGGAGGGGACGGCUCCGUCUUCACAUUGUGCGCAGAUCUGAGGAUGGGAUUAGCGAAGCUGUGGAGACUGCACAUCCGGAUCUGCCCAUGUCUCAAAACAAACACAUGUACAAUGGCUCUUUUUCCUUCUCAAAUACUUUACCCCAGAAGCAGGUGGUCUGCCCCAGGCAUAAAGAAGGAAAAUUGGCCAUCUUUCCCACCUCUAAAUUCUGUAAAAUUAUAGACUUGCUCAAAAGAUUCCUUUUUAUCAUCCCCACGCUGUGUUAAGUGAAAAGGGCAUUGUGUUCCGUGUGUGUCCAGUUUACAGCGUCUCUGCCCCCUAGCGUGUUUUGUGACAAUCUCCCUGGGUGAGGAGUGGGUGCACCCAGCCCCGAGGCCAGUGGUUGCUCGGGGCCUUUCGUGUGAGUUCUAGUGUUCACUUGAUGCCGGGGAAUAGAAUUAGAGAAACCUCUGACCUGCUGGGUGCCAGGAACUGGUGGAGGUGGAUGGCAGGUCCGACUCGACCAUGACUUAGUUGUAAGGGUGUGUCGGCUUUUUAUAGUCUCGUGUGAAAAUCCUCCUGUCUCUGGCAGCACCGUCUGCACUUUCUUGUUUACUGUUUGAAGGGACGAGUACCAAGCCACAAGAACACUUCUUUUGGCCACAGCAAAAGCUGAUGGUAUGUAAGGAACCGAUGGGCCAUUAAACAUGAACUGAACGGUUAAAAGCACAGUCUAUGGAACGCUAAUGGAGUCAGCCCCUAAAGCUGUUUGCUUUUUCAGGCUUUGGAUUACAUGCUUUUAAUUUGAUUUUAGAAUCUGGACACUUUCUAUGAAUGUAAUUUGGCUGAGAAACAUGUUGCUAAGAUGCAAUCCUCAGUGUUUUCUGUAUGUAAAUCUGUGUAUACACCACACAUUACAACUGCAUGAGCUUCCUCUCGCACCAAGACCGGCCGGAACUGAGCAUGAGACGCUGUCAAAUACAGACAAAGGAUUUGAGAUGUUCUCAAUAAAAAGAAAAUGUUUCACUA